UCCCUCGUGGCGCAACCAGAUAGCGCGUCAGACUGUUAUAUUCUCUCACGAAGUCGUAGGAAUAGCAGGCGUCCGGAGGUUGUAAGUUCAAACCUUAGCGAGGGAG